UUUUUUUCAGUUCCUGUGAGGUUGCUCCACAGAAAGACUGCUCUGGAAGACAUGGGUCAGGAACCUGCUCAACAGAAGGCUCUGGGUGACCUGGAAGUCGAGACAGGCAGAGAUGUGCUCUGUGACCAGACCUGGCCUGUGGGUAUAAUGGUUCCUGGCUUUUCUGGAGUCACAGAGCACCCAUGUCUCUCCUGCAGUCUGUCUCACCCCUUACCAAAGGGCUUUUAAAUGACACGACUGCAGCUUGGGACCUGCUCUGAGUGCCUAAGAGAGGAAAAGGAUGAACUGGUGGCUCUCAGACAAACAGCUGUGACGCGUGCCAUCACAGUAAGUUCAUGGUGGCUGCAGUUUUGACAGACUAAGUCAAAACAGAACCGAACAAUCAGGGUGAGUUUUUGUCUUGUGGCUGCAAUGAAUUCCCCGGUGGCUGCCUGUGGCCACUGUUAUUGUCUGUGGGAGUCACUGCCCUAAGAGAAGAAUUCUUCAACAAGUGAACAAAUAACUCAAUUAGAAAUGAAAGCAGUACAUUCCUGAGAGGAGUUCAGCAGCCUCUUCUUCCAGUAGCAACAGUGGAAGUUCCCAGGCUCUGCACCUCUCAGCCCUCGACCCCGAGCCAUGGCUCCUUGCUCCACUUCAGCAGAUGACACCUACCAGGGAGUGCGACCAACUGCUUCACAAUGACAUGCCAGCCUGUUUCUUUUGGGUACCAUUUGUUGGGAUGUGGCAAUGCACUUACUUUGGUCGGUCAAAUUUCAGCUUAGAAAAAUAAUCCAAUUACACACAACAAGAUGGAAAGAGCAGGGGAGACAAGAGCAGAUUUAUGAACUGAUGAAUGAGCUUUUUUGUUGAAAAAUAAUUACUGAGUACUCACUUUGUGGGUGAGCUUGGUCUACCAAGGAGAAGGAAUAAUCAGCAGUCCUGGGAUCUGAAAACAGACAAGAAAUCAAACUCAAGCAAUUAGAGAUUGGCCAAUCUGAAUCAUGGAAUGAGUGCAGAUAUGAUGACUUCCCUCCAAGAUACAAAAGAGAGAGAAAAGUAUUUUUGUUAAAUGUAUUCAGUGGGUAUGGGAAGCAGGGACCUCCUGCAAGGAAGAAAAUAUCCUUUGAGUGUAUGUCGUGGUAAUCUAGUACUGAAAAGCAGAAGGGGUGAAGGAAUUGUGAACAGCUGGUAAGUGGCAGCCCUGUGCCGAAAGAAUAAAGUGUGGAGGAGGGGAGAAAGCAAUUAAAAAGGGGGGGAAAGGGGAGGGUGGAGGAGGGGGGCUAAAAUGGAAACUCCUAAUUUCAACAGUAAAAUAAAACCAAAACAGAAAAACAAAACAGAUGUGUUGGGAGUGUAUUGUCAAACACCAGAUUCCUGUGGAUCCUAAGAGCUGCAGAAGCCAUUGUCCUCUGCUGGGGAUGGGGGCCAUAAAAAAACAGCACGCUGGGCUGGGAACGUAACCGCUGUGUGCUCUCACUCACAGUUCUCAGCUAAACCCAACACAACUCUCUACUGGUCACAAAAGAUGCUCCAGAGAGAAUGAGUGCAGCCAUAACUAGUUGACCUGUGAGCGCUCACCUUCCUUUUUGUGCUCUGAAAGCUGCACUUCUGACAGCGGGAAUAGAGGCUUAUCUCAGCCUCAG
ensembl:lncRNA